UACAGAGGUCCCAACCGUUGUUCGGAUUCAUUGGGCGUAAAGGGUGCGUAGGCGGCGGGGCAAGUCAGGUGUGAAAUCUCGGGGCUCAACCCCGAAACUGCACUUGAUACUGCCUUGCUCGAGUACUGGAGAGGAGACUGGAAUUUACGGUGUAGCAGUGAAAUGCGUAGAUAUCAAGAGGAACACCAGUGGCGAAGGCGAGUCCCUGGACAAACCCUGACACUGAGGCACGAAAGCCAAGGGAGCAAACAGG
rnacentral:rRNA from 1 species